UGGUGAUCACGUCUGUCAAGUAGACGUGCUCGAGAACUCUCCUGCCGUGAACAGGGUUGUACUUGAUCAGCUACAAACUGAAGAAUCAUGAAGAAUCAACUUCUGAUACUUGCCAUCCUGGCUGUCACGAUCUGCGCCAAACCGUUGAACGAUGAAAAAGAACCACCGAAUACCAUAGACAAGGCGACCGGUGGCGGCACCUUAGAACCCAGGCGACGAAUUGAGAAGCCGAAUGGUGGGCCAGGUCCAGGUGGCCAUGACGGGAUGGCAGAUCAUCACGCCACCUUGCGAGACAGUAUGGGAUCGUUCAACAAUGAUAAAAUACCUUACGGUCUGUUUAAAUAUUGUUUUGAGCACCGAAGCACUUGAAACUGUUAAUCGAUGGCAAUAAUAGUCUUUAAACCCUUUAUAUUGAAUUGAUUUGUAAGUGUUUUCUCCUAGAAGCUGUUAUCGUAUCUUUUUUUUUUCAUCCGUGGUCACUUGGUUGAAAGUUUCAGUAUAUUUUGUCAGGUUAGGAAUGUUAAUGUCUUGACCACAGUAUGGACAAACUUCAUCGAACAACUGAACCUGUCGGUAUUUUUCUUAUUGGAAUUGAAAUGUACAUUUGCUCAGAGAGUGACCCGUGCUCAGUCACUCUCAAUCACUCUUGACCACCCAAUCAAUCACCUGUCAAAGCCUUCUCCUACCCUCCAUUCAACUGUGAUACAAACGAUAUCAUAAGUCACCAAAACAAAUUGUACCUGGAAGUUAUUGAGAUAAAACAACAGUUAUAUUAUCAACUAGAGUUCCACGAUCUAAUACCUUUGCCAAAUGAUGUUAGCCUUUAUGACUAAGAAAUUAUAGAUGAA